rnacentral:lncRNA from 1 species
AAGGAGUUCAAGCAAAACAAGAGUUACAAGGAAAAACAAAGAAAAUCUUAAAGGUUACCUAGAGGACUACACUUUAGCAGCCUAAACAUCCCACGACUAUUCAGUCGCCAUACCUUCAGCAGCCGCGACGCUCUUAGCAGCAGCAUUAUCCAGCGCUUCAUCCCCGGCUGCCCCAGCUUGGGCACCAACUUCCCUAACUACUUCACCAAUGGAAGCGUCAAAAGUAAAAGCAAGCAGGACUUCCGAAGAAAUAGAGAAGGUCUCGAAACCUCGAGCCCAUCCUUUUCACCAUUCGGUUGCUUAUUCUCCUCAAGUAGACCAACAAGGAUGCGUUGCAGCUCAUCCACUUCCUUCUUCAGACUUUCGUUAAUCUUCAGU